rnacentral:lncRNA from 1 species
GUCAGAAGUUCCCCUGGAUUCAAGUUAGAGGACCCAAGCCCAUGGUCUAGGAAGAAAUAGCACACUUGGGUGGACAGCCGGUGGGGCUUGGAGUGCCUGGAUAUGAAGUGCCUCGGAGAAUGGGGACUCCUCCAGUGAGGAGGUGGGGCUUCAGAGUCAGGUACAGAUCGGUUUGAGUUCCAUUCCUGCCCUACUCUGUGGCCUCAGACACUCUUCACCUUCUUUUCUGCAAUGAUUCUCCAGAAUCUCUGCUCAUGAAAAAGACUGGCUCCUGAUGAAUCAUCAGAACUUAUCCUGGCAUUUCCUAGACCCAUGCUACUUCAUCCCUUUGGUACCACUUGCAGUAGGCAAAUGAACCCAGGCAGUCCUGCACUGUUGUUGUAUCUUCAAGGGUUGGGACAAGUUUUUAGUUUCUGUAUCUUAGUGUCCAGGGCAGGGUGAAACAGAACAGGCAACAAAUCAACGUUGUUUAAGAGUAAACAAUGUGCAUUGGAAUAGCUUAUUUUGGUACUGAGGAGACGAUGCAUCAGUGGGUCAAGUGCUUGCUAUGGAAGCAUGAAGAGCUAAGGACCCAAGUUUGAUCACCAGCACCCAUGUGAAAAGCCAG